UACCCUUGACAUACCACUAAGGACUCAGAGAUGAGUCUGUGCCUUCGGGAAAGUGGAUAC
rnacentral:rRNA from 1 species